rnacentral:rRNA from 1 species
UACGUAGGGUGCAAGCGUUGUCCGGAAUUAUUGGGCGUAAAGAGCUCGUAGGCGGUCUGUCGCGUCUGGUGUGAAAACUCAGGGCUUAACCCUGAGCUUGCAUCGGGUACGGGCAGACUAGAGUGCGGUAGGGGAGACUGGAAUUCCUGGUGUAGCGGUGAAAUGCGCAGAUAUCAGGAGGAACACCGGUGGCGAAGGCGGCAUCCUGGACCGGCAUUGACGCUGAGGCGCGAAAGCCAGGGGAGCAAACGGGG